UUGAUCUUCGUGCUGAGGAUCGGUAGCCACGACCACACACCGUCCUGCCAUGUGGACCUGACUGACCCACAGAGAGCACUCGACAAGGGCGUCAUCCUACAGUACACUAAUAAUAACGGUAUAGCUUGGACUACCAUCAACGUUCACGACCCACUCGACUUCAGAAAGGCACGUCGUGUAGCUUAUACUCUGCCAGUGGAAGCUAGACGGUACGGAGUACAGCUAAGAUGGUGGCAGCCUGACCACGAUGGUCCAGCUACUGAUCAGUGGGCCCUUGAUAACGUCGAAAUUGUUCUAGCUCAGAGGAAAGACACCAGCAGGUACGGCCAGGAAACCUAUCAUGAGACCGAACUGUGAGCUGCUGCUUCGCCGCAACAACAGCCACCAUUCCCAACAAUACAGAGACCAAAACGAUCUCCACAUCACCAAUACCAACAACACUACAUCCACCACCACUACCACCACAAACAAUGCAACUACAACUAGCCACUCUGGUAGCACUACAACAAGUGCCACUACCACCCACAAUCUCUAGCACAAUACUGACCCACAGUAAAACCACAACUACCACCACCGCCCUAAGGAACUACCAGCAAAUUGACCCACACUAAUACCACCACCCACAGUAUCUACCACCUUACUGACCCACACUCACACCACCUCCCACGGUAUCUACAACCUUACUGACCCACACUAAAACGACCACCCACGGUAACUACCACCUUACUGACCCACACUCACACCACCACCCACGGUAUCUACCACCUUACUGACCACACUAACACCACCACCCACGGUAACUACCACC